UACGAAGGGGGCUAGCGUUGCUCGGAAUUACUGGGCGUAAAGGGAGCGUAGGCGGACAUUUAAGUCAGGGGUGAAAUCCCAGAGCUCAACUCUGGAACUGCCUUUGAUACUGGGUGUCUUGAGUGUGAGAGAGGUAUGUGGAACUCCGAGUGUAGAGGUGAAAUUCGUAGAUAUUCGGAAGAACACCAGUGGCGAAGGCGACAUACUGGCUCAUUACUGACGCUGAGGAGCGAAAGCGUGGGGAGCGAACAGG
rnacentral:rRNA from 1 species